rnacentral:lncRNA from 1 species
GUCCUGUAUGUCAUGGUACUAUCGGAUAACUUAACAUACUACAUGUACCAUUUCUUUUUCUCUUUAGCCUGGAAUAGUUCCUAGGCGAUCAGUGAGGUUCACUUCACUGUCAUACCCUAUGGCCAGGUGACUGCGGUCAGCCGCUCCCCAGCGUCCUGGGAGACCUCUGUGUCGCCCUUAGUGUCACUGAUUUGCAUUCCCCAGGCCUGCCUCCGUACCCAGAGCAGAUCCCCAGCCCGGUGAGCCCUGCCCAGGAGGAGCCAAAAGAAGGUCAGGCCCUGGAGCACCAGCGAGACUGGGAAACAAGGGUGACCCCACCGGAGAUGGGCACUGGGCCCCCAGCCAGUGUCAGCAUUUUGUCUUCAGUUAAACGGGAGGAAGACUCUUCAGAUGGGGAGUCACCAACCUGCCCUCCCAGGGACAUCCUGCCCAGCUUGGGGCCAGGGGGUGGUGCUGUGGUCAUCAAGACGGAAGCACCAUCUGAGGACGAGAUGACGCCAGAGCCGCCCUUCCCCGGGGCGUCCCCGAGCCGGGCCGCGUGUGGAAUCCCCAAAGGGCCCAGGAGCAGGACCGGGGGUUCCAGCCGGCUUCACGCAGGGGGCGUCCCCCGGGCGCGGGCCGGGGACUCCCGGUCCACGGGGGCUGGGACCCAGCCACCCCGCGUCCUCCCGCGUCGGCAGGAGCGGGCCUUCCCCUGCCCUGACUGCGGCCAGAGCUUCCGCCUGAAGAUCAACCUGACCAUUCACCAGCGGAGCCACGUGGAGGAGGAGCACCGGGAGGCCCGGGGCGGCUCGCCCACCGGGUGGGGGGAUGCGCACUCGGCUCUGGAGCCGGGGG